CUGGCUCAGGAUAAACGCUGGCGGCGUGCUUAACACAUGCAAGUCGAACGGAGUGGUUCUCCCGAGGAAUGAGGGUGCUUGCACCUGAAUGACUCAUUGAAUCACUUAGUGGCGGACGGGUGAGUAACGCGUGGGAAACCUGCCCUAUACUGGGGGAUAGCAGUUGGAAACGACUGAUAAUACCGCAUAAGCGCACAGCUUCGCAUGAAGCAGUGUGAAAAACUCCGGUGGUAUAGGAUGGUCCCGCGUCUGAUUAGCUAGUUGGUGAGGUAACGGCCCACCAAGGCAACGAUCAGUAGCCGGCCUGAGAGGGUGUACGGCCACAUUGGGACUGAGACACGGCCCAAACUCCUACGGGAGGCAGCAGUGGGGAAUAUUGGACAAUGGGGGAAACCCUGAUCCAGCCGACGCCGCGUGAACGAAGAAGUAUUUCGGUAUGUAAAGUUCUAUCAGCAGGGAAGAUAAUGACGGUACCUGACUAAGAAGCACCGGCUAAAUACGUGCCAGCAGCUGC
rnacentral:rRNA from 1 species